UACGUAGGGUGCAAGCGUUGUCCGGAAUUAUUGGGCGUAAAGAGCUCGUAGGCGGCUUGUCGCGUCGGCUGUGAAAACCUGGGGCUCAACCCCGGGCCUGCAGCCGAUACGGGCAAACUAGAAUUCGGUAGGGGAGACUGGAAUUCCUGGUGUAGCGGUGAAAUGCGCAGAUAUCAGGAGGAACACCGGUGGCGAAGGCGGGUCUCUGGGCCGAUACUGACGCUGAGGAGCGAAAGCGUGGGGAGCGAACAGG
rnacentral:rRNA from 1 species